rnacentral:lncRNA from 1 species
GCACAAAACAAAACAGUACCCCAUAUCUUCCGUUGUUCUCUUCUUUCAGUGAAAAAAAAUCAUUUUCUCCUCUGUGUUCCAGACUGUGAACACUAAUAGGUGCAGACUGUACGUAUUCUACCCAUCACUCUACAUCUACUGCCUGGCCUUGUGUCUGGCACUUAGUAGGCCUUCAGUAAUACUGAUUUAUGUAUGUAUGUAUGUAUGUAUGUAUGUAUGUAUGUAUGUAUUUAGUCUUUUUAGGGCUGCACCCGUAGUAUAUGGAGGUUCCCAGACUAGGGAUCGAGCCAGAGCUGUAGCUGUCAACCUACACCACAGCCACAGCAACACCACAUCCAAGCCUUGUCUGUGACCUACACCACAGCUUACAGCAACGCCAGACCCUUAACCCACCAAGCAAGGCCAGGGAUAGAAUCUGCAUCCUCAUGGAUACUAGUCAGGUUCGUUUCCACUGAGCCAAGAUGGAAAUGAAUUAUUAUUAUUUAUUACUAUUAUUAUUAAUUUUAGUAAUACUGAUUUAUGUUGAGGGAAUUCUGCUAGGUUACGUUCUACCCAGAGGAGCUUUUCUGAUUAAUCAAGAAACUGCUAUUAGAUUUGUAUGAAAACUAGACCCCUCAUGAGACUUAAAUGUAAGAGAAAGAAAAUUUAUCCUCUUACUUAUGUGGAGUCAGAUAUACCUGCCUUGGAAUAAGUCUCAUAAAUACCAUCCCACAGAAAGUGGCUUUGUUGGUCGUUACUUUGAAUCAUCUCAUGACGGCCAGGGAAACUUAAGCUGCACAUGUAGAAAGAGCUUAAUAAAUGGAUAACAGGGAAGCAGAAAAUCUGAUUAGGCAGACAACCCCACCUAAUCAGAAAAUAACCACAUAGGCUGAACACAAAUGUGCUGUUCUCAGCUGAUUGCUGCUGGAAGCCUCUUCUCCAGGAGAUUUUUUUUUUUUUUAAUCUCCAUCCAUUUUCUUUCUCUCCCAUUUCCUCUUUCAAUAUCCUGGUCUUAGGUUUCUAAUGAAGUUGGCCUGUGUACGUGCGAUUUUGUUACAAGAUGCAAAGGCAACCUGGCUGUGCGCAGGGCUAAACAAGCCAUCUGUGUAAAUAUGUUUGGAUUUGUAAUCUCAUCCCCACUCCCCAGCCUACAACCUUUGAUAGGAUUAGCUGAAAGAAUGGUGCCCAGGUAAAUUUGCACUGACUAAACCCCGUGUGAGCCCCUGGUGGGUUAAUCAGACCAUUAUAAUCAGGUUCCCAAGCCUGAGAGCAAUGUUCUUUGGGGAGCAUCAUGGGUGAGCAUUCUCUUUGUACAGAGGGCGGGGGAAAUAACCAGAGAUGAACUUCAUGUCUUUCAUCACUGGGUCCUUUUGUGAAAUAAACCAUGUGCAAUGUGAUCCAGAAAAGCUGGAAAACAAGCAGAGCUGUGGGUUAGACUAUGGCCAGCGAUGUCGAAGUGUUCAGUGUUGGGCAGGUGCAGGAAGCCUCUGGCUGAGGCAAAGCUGUUGACUGGUCUUCUCUACCCAGAGGUUAUGGGGACAGUCUUGCCAGUACAGGUGGGCCUUUCACCCCUACUCCUUGCUUAGUGCAUCUUCUACUGCCAUGGACAAACGAGGGCACUGGAUUUCCUGGCAAUUGAGUGAACUUGGGUCACAACAUCUUGAUGACUUGUUGGGCUUCUAUCAAUACCCAUCAGGUAGGGAGAAUGGAUGCCAUAAUCUAGAUAAAUCCAGAUCCCCAAAGGCCUGUUGAUUGCAAAAUCCAGUUAACUGAGUUGAGAGUGAGCCAAGAGGGAUCAAGGUCCUAGUCACCUGGGCAAUCAGUCGUCCCUUCCCUCAGGACACACCAACACACCGACUCCAGGGUACAUGUCCGAAGCUUCCCACCCAGGCCGGGUCUGCAGUGCUUGUUAGAGGUCUGGUUUUAGCUGCCAGCAGGAUGCUGCAUUCCAGGGAAAAUAGGACUGAUUUCUUUUACAGUCACCAUGUGUAUCCUGACUUAACUCACUGGAAGGUGAUUUGUCUGUGACUUUGGCCUCUUGAUCGAAGCAUUGUUUGCAGGACUGAUUCAGCUUUACUAGACGUAAAGCUUACACCCUUUCGAAGAUUUUCUUUAAGAAAAAGCAUAAAAAAUUGGGUGCAAGAGUUUCAAAUAAAGCUAAACACACCUCCUCUGUGACCUAGCAAUUUCAUUCCUAGGGAUAUAUCCAAGAGAAGGUUAACCUGUGUCCAUAAAAAUACUAGUACAAGAAUAUUCAUAACAGUGUUACUCAUAAUAAAUCCAAACCGUAAACAACCCAAAUGCCUAAUAACAGGUAAAUACAUAAGCAAAAGAGAUUCAGCCAUGCAAUGAAGUACCACUUCACAGUAAAAGCACAAACAAACAAACAAACAAAAGAAACUAACAGCUGGUACAUAUAAUAUCAUGGAUGAAUUUGUAUACAAUUUUCUAGGCAAAAGAAGCCAGAGAAAUGAUUCCAUUUCCAAACAUAUCUUGUUUUAUUCACUUCACUUUAUUACAGAUUGAAGGUUUGUUGCAACCCUAGGUUGAGAAAGCCUAUCGUGGCCAUUUUUCCAAUAGCAUUUGCUCACUUUGUGUCUCUGUGUUGCGUUUUGGUAAUUUUUGCAGUACUUCGAACUUUUUUAUUAAAUGUGUUAUGGUAACCAGUGGUCCUUGAUGUUACUUCUACCACUUGUUGAAGGCUCAGAUAACGGUUAGUAUUUUUUUAAGCAAUAAAGUAUAUUUUAACUAAGGAACAUACUUUUUUUUUAGACAUAAUGCCAUAUUAUUGCACAUUUAACCCAUCAUACUACAGACUCAGUGUAAAUUUUGUGUAUAGCGGGAGGCCAAAAAGUGCAAAAUUGGCUUUAUUGUGUUAUUUUGGAACUGAAUCCACUAUAUCUUCAAAGUUCACCUGUAUCCAGUGUUCUAAAACAGGUAAAAAUAAUUCAUGGCACUAUCUAUUAUAAUGGAUAAAUUAAAAAAAAAAAAACCCUGAACUAUGGUGGGAGUGCAGAAUGGAACACUCACUUUGGAAAAUAUUUUGAAGGUUUCUUAUAAAGUUAAAUACACACUUCCUGCACAACCCAGCAAUUCCCCUUCUUAUUUUCCCAAGGGAAAUGAAACCUCUGUUCACAAAAAGUUCUGCACAUGAAUGUUUAGGACAGCUUUAUUCAUAGCCGAAACCUGAAAACAUCCCAAAUGUCCCUCAACUGGGAAUGGGUAAACAACUGUAGUACACUAACAUAAUGGAAUACACUCAAAAAGGUGGCGAAGUUUUCGUCAUCUAUCUUAAUGGAAGAAACCACAUCUAAAAAGCUACAAACAAAUAGAAAUAGCUGUUUCUAUUUAUAGGGGAUUCUAGAGAAAUCAGACCAAGGACUUCAACAAGCUGAGAGUUCAUGGACGGACUGUCAGCAAGGACUAUAGCGGAAGUUCUUGGAGAGACGUGGAUGUUCUCUAUGUUGGACAUGUGAUGGUGAUGACUUUGCUCUGUUGAUUCAUCAAAUCAACACACAGAAGUGUGGCCUUGACUUUCUGGGUGUUGCUCCUUCAGCAGAAGCUGUAUGUAUUAUAGGAACCAUGAAAGAAACAACCUGGUGGGGAGAAAAAUCAAUGAAUUAGACCCAAGGAAUAUCCAACAGGAGACUUAGCUACUAGCAUCCAUAUCCAACUCCUUCUCAUCUCUUACAAUCCCUGACUGUGAGGGCUGGCAGGAGUAAGUAGCAGUAUACUUUUCUCUCUCCAGGAAUUUUAUCUCAUGACUUGGCAGCCUAGAUAUCUUCUUAUUAGAUUAGGGAAAGCGUCCCUCUUGGCUGAGAGAGAACUGAAGAUAAGGAGGUAAUUCCUCUUGCCUGUUAGGUUAGGCUAAGUUGAGGGAAGAAAUAGACCAAAUAGUCCCUGGCUCACUGUGGUAGAAGCUAGCUAGAGCUCAUCCUGGUAGCCCCUCUGACUCCGAAGGGAUGCUGUAAAAUGAAGUUGAGGUGUGUGCUGGGAGACGAGGUGAAAAACUGUGGCUUUCAUGAUGGCAUAGCUUUCUUUGUUCUUUAUAUCACAGAUAAUUGAUAGGGGUUGAAAAUUAUUGAUAAAGCUAAAUUUUUAUCUGAUGCAGCAUUCAAUAGGCAAAUAAAGAACUAUUAUGUACAGCUGAUUUUGAGUUGACCUGAACUUCAAUGGCAGAAUAGGAUGAAAUCUUCCAGACAGUAAGAUAAUGACAAGUGAGAUCUUUGUAGGCUUUGCAUGUGGUUUAUUAAAUUUUGGUUUGAGCAAGGGAAAUUAGUGGCACUGGGGAAAAUUUCUCCAAAGGACUGAUAUAGACAGAACUAAACACACAGGCAUUAAUUUGGAACAAUUCUAACAAGCAGUAGUGACAAUAUAAAGUAAACAGCUAUAGUUGCAGCAAAAGACAACAAAAGGUAGGCCAUCAUUACCAGGAGCAGUGGAAACAAAACAGAGUAUUACUUUAUCUUUGCAUCAAAAUGUAGAGGUCUACACCAGUGAGAGGUGCUGGCUGCCAAUCACUGAAAGAGACAAUGCUACUAUGGGAUGCAUAGUUAAGUACCAGUAGGUAAGCAAGGACAGAAAGAAUAUAGAAUAUAUAUUUGGGAGUUCCCAUUGUGGCUUAGAGGUAACAAACCUGACUAGUAUCCAUGAGGACUCAGGUUGUAUCCCUGGCCUCCCUCAGUGGGUCAGGGAUCCAGUGUUGCAGUGAGUUGUGGUAUAGGUCACAGACUCGGCUCAGAUCCUGCAUUGCUGUGGCUGUGGUAGGCUGGCAGCUAACGCUCCACUUCCACCCCUAGCCUGGGAACUUCCAUAUGCCAUGGGUGUGACCCCUCCAAAAAA